AAAGAUAAAAGGAGAGUCCAUCCUCUUCAACUGGCUGAAGGACAUAGUCAACCAUUUUGGUGGUGUUGCAAGACUGCCGACACACGUGGGCAGUUUCUUGCAUUAUGGGUUGGCAUCCUUCACCAUGUCUGCAACAUUCACACCUACACUAUGGGAAGUUGCAAACACGAGCACCUUGAAUCGGAUCAAAUGCGGGGAAAGAUGUGGAUCCAGAGAGACUCCCAGUGCCACAAAGCUUUAGUGGAUAUAGUUCUCGAUAAGAGGUGGCAGAAAGAUGUUCACAACUAUCUGCGAUUCAGAUCGACUGCAGACCUAGAGUCAUUCCAGAAUCAUAUCCUGAUGUGUGCCAGCAAGCGCUAUACUUUCAGCCCCCCAGUUUAUGAGGCAAGAGUUCUGCUUGCUGCUUUGGACUACAAUUUCC